rnacentral:rRNA from 1 species
GACGAACGCUGGCGGCGUGCUUAACACAUGCAAGUCGAACGGAGUGGCGAACGGGUGAGUAACACGUGGGUGAUCUGCCUUGCACUUCGGGAUAAGCUUGUGAAACUGGGUCUAAUACCGGAUAGUGCAAGAUGAGCUCGCGGCCUAUCAGCUUGUUGGUGGGGUAAUGGCCUACCAAGGCGUCGACGGGUAGCCGGCCGGAGAGGGUGUACGGCCACAUUGGGACUGGGAUACGGCCCAGGCGCAUACGGGAGGAAGCAGUGGGGAAUAGUGCAAAAUGGGCGGAAGCCUGAUGCAGCGACGCCGCGUGGUGGAUGAAGGCCUUCGGGUUGUAAACUCCUUUCGACAGGGACGCGGUACCUGUAUAAGAAGCACCGGCUAACUACGGGCCAGCAGCCGCGUAAUUC